UACGGAGGGUGCAAGCGUUGUCCGGAUUUAUUGGGUUUAAAGGGUGCGUAGGUGGUUGAGUAAGUCUGGUUUGAAAGUCAGCCGCUUAACGGUUGAGGGUGGCUGGAUACUGCUUAACUUGAAUUUUCCGGAGGCAGGCGGAACGGGUUGUGUAGCGGUGAAAUGCAUAGAUAUGACCCAGAACACCGAUUGCGAAGGCAGCCUGCUACGGAUGGAUUGACACUGAGGCACGAGAGCAUGGGGAGCAAACAGG
rnacentral:rRNA from 1 species